rnacentral:lncRNA from 1 species
CAAGAUAGUGAAUAUGUUGGGUGAGGUGAAUCAAGCAAGGCAUUCAUCUCCUGGUUUUGAGUUUCUUCAAUAGGUUCAUCCAAAAAAUCAUCUUCCUUCAAAUUUAAGGAGGAAUCAGUUUCAACUAUCUCAUCUAUCAGAUCAAUUACCGAACAGCUUUCCUCCUUUUGAGCAUACUUUGAGGCAUUAAAAAUAUUAAUUCUUAUCUUUUGAUCCUCAAAAGAAAUAUCCAUUGUUCCUGUUUUACAAUUGAUAUUAGCAUUGGCAGUG